rnacentral:rRNA from 1 species
UAAGACGUAGGAGGCAAGCGUUAUCCGGAGUUACUGGGCGUAAAGCGCGUGUAGGCGGAUUGGUAAGUGGUUCGUGAAAUAUCCGGGCUAAACUCGGAGGGGACGAAUCAGACUGCUAGUCUGGAGGCGGGUAGAGGGGUGCGGAAUUCCGGGUGUAGCGGUGAAAUGUGUAGAUAUCCGGAGGAACACCAGAGGUGCAGACGGCGCCCUGGGCCCGACCUGACGCUGAGACGCGAAAGCUUGGGGAGCGAACGGGAUUAGAGACCCCGGUAGUCCAAGCCGUAAACGAUGUCAACUAGGUGUCCACUUGCCUACGGGUAAGGGGGCGCCGAAGCUAACGCGAUAAGUUGACCGCCUGGGGAGUACGGUCGCAAGAUUA